UACAGAGGUCUCAAGCGUUGUUCGGAUUCAUUGGGCGUAAAGGGUGCGUAGGCGGCGCGGUAAGUCGGGUGUGAAAUCUCGGAGCUUAACUCCGAAACUGCAUUCGAUACUGCCGUGCUUGAGGACUGGAGAGGAGACUGGAAUUUACGGUGUAGCGGUGAAAAUGCGUAGAUAUCAGGAGGAACACCGGUGGCGAAGGCGGAUCUCUGGGCCUUACCUGACGCUCAGGUGCGAAAGCUAGGGGAGCGAACAGG
rnacentral:rRNA from 1 species